ACCACCCAUACCUCCAGAAGACCUAUAAGAAGCAGGGCCAAAACCGCCACUGCCAAAACUGCUGUAUGAAUUGCCAAAUCCUCCAUAACUAUCGCUGUAUCCACGUCCCCUAGACUCACUACCAUAGCCAUGACCAGAUGAUGCUGGGUUUGAGGGUUUCUUAGGUUCUGCCUUCUUGAUCUCAACCUACAAUAAAGAAGCCCUACACUCACUACCAUAGCCAUGACCAGAUGAUGCUGGGUUUGAGGGUUUCUUAGGUUCUGCCUUCUUGAUCUCAACCUGGGUACCCAACAUAUCAAUCAUAUUUCCCUCGGACAGCACAUUAUCAACUAC
rnacentral:lncRNA from 1 species